rnacentral:rRNA from 1 species
UACAGGGGGGGCAAGCGUUGUUCGGAAUUACUGGGCGUAAAGGGCUCGUAGGUGGCCAACUAAGUCGGACGUGAAAUCCCUCAGCUUAACUGGGGAACUGCAUCCGAUACUGGCGGGCUUGAAUCCGGGAGAGGGAUGUGGAAUUCCAGGUGUAGCGGUGAAAUGCGUAGAUAUCUGGAGGAACACCGGUGGCGAAGGCGGCAUCCUGGACCGGUAUUGACGCUGAGGCGCGAAAGCUAGGGGAGCAAACGGG